rnacentral:lncRNA from 1 species
ACCUCCCUACAAGCUGAGGGAGCGGAGCCGGCUGCGGCCUUGGCCAGCCCAGAAAGGGGCUCCUACAGUGCAGUGGCGGGCUGAAGGGCUCCUCAAGUGCCGCCAAAGUGGGAGCCCAGGCAGAGGAGGCGCCGAGAGCGAGCGAGGACUGUAAGGACUGCCAGCACGCUGUCACCUCUCACUAAUAUAGAUUGCCAAUCUAUUUGUUGACCAGGUUUGCUGGAGUUUGGAUUUACUACCAAGUCAUAUUUGGAGCAUGCUGGAAUCUUACAACUGAGAUUACUGAGUCAGAAACUUGCAAACAUGAGUAACAUGGCCCUGCUCUGGAGACUACUGGGAACACAAACACAGCCAUUUAAGACAUCUUCCUGCUUCUCCUUUCCCUUCCAUCAUGAUUGAAAGUUGUCUGAGGUCUCCCAGCCAUGUGUCCUGUACAGCCUGCGGAACUCCUUUGAAGAAGAAUCAGAAAAUGGAGACUGGGAUUGGAAGCAGAGAUCCGAUGGCCAAAUUACAGAGUCUUCCACUGAAACUAACUCACCUAUGGAUUCAGAGUAUUCUUUAGUCUCUUCCACCAUGUGAGGGCACAGUGAAAGGAAGGCCCUCUAUGGAGCAGAAUGUGGGCCCUUACCAACACUUGAGUCUUCCAUUGCCUUGACCUUUAACUUCCCAGCCUUCAAAACAGUGAGAAAUAAAUUUCUGUAGUUUAUAAGCCAA